UGCCGCGUGCAGGAUGACGGUCCUAUGGAUUGUAAACUGCUUUUGUACGGGAAGAAACACUCCGACGUGUCGGAGCUUGACGGUACCGUAAGAAUAAGGAUCGGCUAACUCCGUGCCAGCAGCCGCGGUAAUACGGAGGAUCCAAGCGUUAUCCGGAAUCAUUGGGUUUAAAGGGUCCGUAGGCGGUCUGGUAAGUCAGUGGUGAAAGCCCAUCGCUCAACGGUGGAACGGCCAUUGAUACUGCUGGACUUGAAUUACUGGGAAGCAACUAGAAUAUGUAGUGUAGCGGUGAAAUGCUUAGAGAUUACAUGGAAUACCAAUUGCGAAGGCAGGUUGCUACCAGUGGAUUGACGCUGAUGGACGAAAGCGUGGGUAGCGAACAGGAUUAGAUACCCUGGUAGUCCACGCCGUAAACGAUGGAUACUAGCUGUUGGGAGCAAUCUCAGUGGCUAAGCGAAAGUGAUAAGUAUCCCACCUGGGGAGUACGUUCGCAAGAAUGAAACUCAAAGGAAUUGACGGGGGCCCGCACAAGCGGUGGAGCAUGUGGUUUAAUUCGAUGAUACGCGAGGAACCUUACCAAGGCUUAAAUGCAGACUGACCGAUUUGGAAACAGAUCUUUCGCAAGAC
rnacentral:rRNA from 1 species